AAAUAAAUUCAAGACUCUCAAAUUAGACAUUUUAAAUUUAUUGUAUUUUAAUUUUAAUUGUUUAAACUUUUUGGACAAACCUUUGCACAUUGGGCCAUUAUUAAAAAAUUAUGAGAAGCCCAAAAUUGUAGGACACUUGGCACCUAGGGUUUUAUUAUUUUAGGGUGGACCCCACCCUAAUUUAAGGACACAUGAUCCUGGAGAGAUACCAAGUUGCAGCUGUCACUUACAUUUCAUUUUUCUUUGGCUGGAACAUUUUUCUGAGGAGGGCAGUGUGGCUGGAACGUGUUUUUGGGGUGUGAAAGGGUUUUGAACAUGAUUUUCACUUUGAUGGGUAUUGGUUGAUGAGAAGCAUUUUUUUUUCUUUAUAUUUUGGAUGCAACGCUGCUGCANAGAUUGGCCACUCACGGUGCAUUACUCUUUUAUUUCAUUUCUUUACUUUGAAUGGAGAACAAGGUUUGCUUUUAAUUUUUAAUUGNUUGCAAUUGGUGUGCACACGGUCACAGCCACCAAAUCUUGGGUUAUUCAAUUGCUUUUGGAAAAAGUGCUGGAACCAUUUUAUUAUUCAUGAUUUUUGUUAACAUUUCUUUUAACAAUUAUUUUUCUUUGAAUGAGUAAGAAGUAGAAUAGAAGUGAUGGGACAUUGCAGAGGUGAAGUUUCUUUUUUUUUUUCUUUUCUUUAUUUCUUUAAGAAUGAUGAGUGAUUUGAUGGGAGAAGUUGGAUGAGGUACGGUGGUUGGCAUUUGGAGAAGAAGUUGCAAUUUUUUUUUUACUUGAAGAAAUGCAAGCAAAUCACGUCCANCAACUAUUUUAUUUUGGUUAAGAAAAGUUGGAGAAUGAAGCUGAACGGUAACAUUGCAUAAGGUGUCACGGCCAAGAGUUAGUUUUUAAAAAAAGCAAUUGCAUUUAUAAUU
rnacentral:lncRNA from 1 species